GAUGAACGCUGGCGGCGUGCCUAAUACAUGCAAGUCGAGCGAACAGACGAGGAGCUUGCUCCUCUGACGUUAGCGGCGGACGGGUGAGUAACACGUGGAUAACCUACCUAUAAGACUGGGAUAACUUCGGGAAACCGGAGCUAAUACCGGAUAAUAUAUUGAACCGCAUGGUUCAAUAGUGAAAGACGGUUUUGCUGUCACUUAUAGAUGGAUCCGCGCCGCAUUAGCUAGUUGGUAAGGUAACGGCUUACCAAGGCAACGAUGCGUAGCCGACCUGAGAGGGUGAUCGGCCACACUGGAACUGAGACACGGUCCAGACUCCUACGGGAGGCAGCAGUAGGGAAUCUUCCGCAAUGGGAGGAAGCCUGACGGAGCAACGCCGCGUGAGUGAUGAAGGUCUUCGGAUCGUAAAACUCUGUUAUUAGGGAAGAACAAAUGUGUAAGUAACUAUGCACGUCUUGACGGUACCUAAUCAGAAAGCCACGGCUAACUACGUG
rnacentral:rRNA from 1 species